rnacentral:rRNA from 1 species
UACGUAGGGUGCAAGCGUUGUCCGGAAUUAUUGGGCGUAAAGAGCUCGUAGGCGGUGUGUCGCGUCGGCCGUGAAAACCUGCAGCUUAACUGUGGGCGUGCGGUCGAUACGGGCAUCACUGGAGUUCGGCAGGGGAGACUGGAAUUCCUGGUGUAGCGGUGGAAUGCGCAGAUAUCAGGAGGAACACCGGUGGCGAAGGCGGGUCUCUGGGCAGUAACUGACGCUGAGGAGCGAAAGCGUGGGGAGCGAACCGG